UAGCAAUCGCGGUGAGGCCGGGUAACCGGUUAGAUGGUGUGAAGAACAUUUGGGUUUAUCCGACCGAGCGGCUGAAGGAUUGCCGCCAUCCUAUGCUCGGUCGGUUGGCUCGA
rnacentral:sRNA from 31 species